UGGACAUAGUUUAACCAAAACACUAAUCUGUGGACUUAGAAAUAAAACCAAAAUUUUUGCCCACC
rnacentral:tRNA from 1 species